rnacentral:rRNA from 1 species
AUUGAACGCUGGCGGCAGGCCUAACACAUGCAAGUCGAGCGAGCGGCGGACGGGUGAGUAAUGUAUGGGGACUGCCCGAUAGAGGGGGAUAACUACUGGAAACGGUGGCUAAUACCGCAUACUAUCGGAUAACCCAUAUGGGAUUAGCUAGUAGGUGGGGUAAAGGCUCACCUAGCAGACGAUCUCUAGCUGGUCUGAGAGGAUGAUCAGUCACACUGAGAGUGAGACUCGGCCCAGCAUCCUACGGAGGCGGCAGUGUAGAAUAUUAGACGGUUGGCGGUAGUCGAAUGUACCCAUGCAGCGUAUCUGAAGAAUGCAUUAGGUUUGGAAAGUACUUUCAUCGAGAAGUCGUUACCCGCAGAAGAAGCACCGGCUAACUCCGUGCCAGCCGCCGCUGUACUAC